CAGCCGCCGCGGUAAUACGAAGGGGGCUAGCGUUGUUCGGAUUUACUGGGCGUAAAGCGCACGUAGGCGGAUCGAUCAGUCAGGGGUGAAAUCCCAGAGCUCAACUCUGGAACUGCCUUUGAUACUGUCGAUCUGGAGUAUGGAAGAGGUGAGUGGAAUUCCGAGUGUAGAGGUGAAAUUCGUAGAUAUUCGGAGGAACACCAGUGGCGAAGGCGGCUCACUGGUCCAUUACUGACGCUGAGGUGCGAAAGCGUGGGGAGCAAACAGGAUUAGAUACCCCUGUAGUCCCUGUCUCUUAUAC
rnacentral:rRNA from 1 species